rnacentral:rRNA from 1 species
GUGAACGCUGGCGGUAGGCCUAACACCUGCCAGUCGCACGGCAGCACAGUAAGAGCUUGCUCUUACGGGUGGCGAGUGGCGGACGGGUGAGGAAUACAUCGUAAUCUACUUUUUCGUGGGGGAUAACGUAGGGAAACUUACGCUAAUACCGCAUACGACCUACGGGUGAAAGCAGGGGAUCUUCGGACCUUGCGCGAUUGAAUGAGCCGAUGUCGGAUUAGCUAGUUGGCGGGGUAAAGGCCCACCAAGGCGACGAUCCGUAGCUGGUCUGAGAGGAUGAUCAGCCACACUGGAACUGAGACACGGUCCAGACUCCUACGGGAGGCAGCAGUGGGGAAUAUUGGACAAUGGGCGCAAGCCUGAUCCAGCCAUACCGCGUGGGUGAAGAAGGCCUUCGGGUUGUAAAGCCCUUUUGUUGGGAAAGAAAAGCAGCAGGUUAAUACCCCGCUGUUCUGACGGUACCCAAAGAAUAAGCACCGGCUAACUUCGUG